GUGAGGUCGGCCGGGCGGGCCUCGGGCCAUGUGUUGUAAAGGGAGCUGGAGACCAGCGUACAGGGGAGUCGGCCACCAGCUUCCGGCUGCAGAUGCUGCCCACUGCAGAGCGGCACGCUGCCCUGCCCAGGCGCCCCUGCCAAACAGAAGGCUGUCUUGGCAGACGCGUUGGCACACAGUGCUCUGCAGCCUGCACCCUGAACCACUUCCACAGCCAAAUGGGCCUUCUCUGAGUUGGCUUCCCUCCUCAUCCACAGACCUCCUGCCUCCCAAACAGACGGGCACAAGUGCUUCACUGUGUGGUACAAGAGUUUGAGUCAGAGCCCAACCUCUGUUUCAAUAGAGAAUACAGCAAACAAAGCUGUGGAGGAAAGGGUGCAAACAAGCUCUGCUGAUGGCGCUGCAAGCAAACUCUUCCCUCACACUCAUGGUAACGGCUCUCUCAGUUCCACCGGGAGCAAGUAGAAAAGUGUUUCUGAGAAAUUUUACCACUAACUGUUCUCUCCCGCAUGGCCUGGGGAUCUAAGGACACUGAAGUUACAAACUUGGUACUGAUGAUCCCAGAGCAGAAGCAUUUACAGAAAUACAGCAGCCAAUGCACAUCCUCUCUGGAGAAAUGCACCUUUUUAUUGGCUCCUAAUAGAAAUAGCCAAGCA
rnacentral:lncRNA from 1 species